UNUGACUUGAGUGCAGAAGGGGAGAGUGGAAUUCCAUGUGUAGCGGUGAAAUGCGUAGAUAUAUGGAGGAACACCAGUGGCGAAAGCGGCUCUCUGGUCUGUCACUGACGCUGAGGCUCUAAAGCGUGGGUAGCGAACAGGAUUAGAUACCCUGGUAGUNCACGCCGUAAACGAUGAGUGCUAGGUGUUAGGCCCNUUCCGGGGCUUAGUGCCGGAGCUAACGCAAUAAGCACUCCGCCUGGGGAGUACGACCGCAAGGUUGAAACUCAAAGGAAUUGACGGGGGCCCGCACAAGCGGUGGAGCAUGUGGUUUAAUUCGAAGCAACGCGAAGAACCUUACCAGGUCUUGACAUCCCGAUGCUAUUCUUAGAGAUAGGAAGUUACUUCGGUACAUCGGAGACAGGUGGUGCGUGGUUGUCGUCAGCUCGUGUCGUGAGAUGUUGGGUUAAGUCCCGCAACGAGCGCAACCCUUAUUGUUAGUUGCCAUCAUUAAGUUGGGCACUCUAGCGAGACUGCCGGUAAUAAACCGGAGGAAGGUGGGGAUGACGUCAAAUCAUCAUGCCCCUUAUGACCUGGGCUACACACGUGCUACAAUGGUCGGUACAACGAGUUGCGAGCCGGUGACGGCAAGCUAAUCUCUGAAAGCCGAUCUCAGUUCGGAUUGGAGGCUGCAACUCGCCUCCAUGAAGUCGGAAUCGCUAGUAAUCGCGGAUCAGCACGCCGCGGUGAAUACGUUCCCGGGCCUUGUACACACCGCCCGUCACACCACGAGAGUUUGUAACACCCGAAGUCGGUGAGGUAACCUUUUAGGGGCCAGCCGCCUAAGGU
rnacentral:rRNA from 1 species